GCCUUUCCUGUCAAGAGGUGAAGUCUAUUUCUCCUCCCCUCGAAUCCAACUGGCCCAGUGAGAGAAUGCAGUGGGAGUACCAGAGAGCCAGUUCCCAGCCUGGACCUCAAGAAGCUUCACGUGCUUCCACUUGCACCACUGGAACCCUGCCCACCCUUUGUGUGAACAAGCCUGGUCUAGCCUGCUGGAGGGUGAAAGACCACAUGACGUGUGGAAGAGCCAGGCCAGCUGGGGCCACUUAGGCCAGCCAGCCCCUAGCCAACCCAGUAACUAACCACAGCUGCACGAAUGAGCUCAGCCAAGACCAGAUGGAUUGCCCAGUCCAGCCCAGUCCAGUUCAAAUUGCUGAUUCACAGACCUGUAAUUUCAGCUUUCUACUUGCUGUCUUCAUCACAUCAACAGUGUCUUCCCUCAUGAUUGAAAGAAGCUCAUUAAUUUGAAGGAUCACAGGUUCGAAAACUUGCUAUAGUGCUCACAACCACAACCUAAAGCGUUAAUGACAGAGACUGAAAUCUGUGUGCCUCCACAUCCUCAAUGUCUGAAAUCGCACUGGACCACAGCAGGCCAACUUUGCCAAGGCGCCCACCAUCUCUGCUGCCAGUGCCCUCUUGAGGAAGGUCCCCACCGUGCCUAGCACCGAAUCCACUUGGGAGUCUCCUCUACCCAGCACCAGAGCGGCUCUGGACGAGUGAGGGAAGGAAGGCGAGCCGCUCUGUUUCUGCUCGAGACUUCAGUGACCACAGCGCUCCAGGGCUUGGGUCUACGCUUUCGGAUUUUAUGGUUUAUGGACAAAGCCUUAGGCUGGUGGGAGAGUAGAGAACUCGCCUCCUCUCUCUGCUAUCUUUCUUCCCCUUCUUUUUCCAAGUGCUCAUGCGAAAUAACACCCCUUCCUGUACUUGUAAGAUCCAAACUUAAGUUCCUUCCACAUCCCUUCCAUGCAUUUAGUCCCCUCCCUUCACCUACACGACGCCUUGGUCAAUUCGUCAUGCUCGACAGGGCUUGGCUUUGAAAAAUACGAAUUUUAAUAAAAUAAUGUACAUCCUUCAAAAGGGAAUAUGUUGUCUUCAGCAUCCUUUAAUGAUCUGGUUGUAGCUGAAGGACGCCUAUCAGAUGUAAGCAGGGGAACUCAGAGAUAGUGCUGUCUGAAGUGACUGAUGUUUGGUGGCCCCCUCUGAAUCAGGAAGAACAGUCGUC
rnacentral:lncRNA from 1 species